GACGAACGCUGGCGGCGUGCUUAACACAUGCAAGUCGAACGGAAAGGCCCUGCUUUUGUGGGGUGCUCGAGUGGCGAACGGGUGAGUAACACGUGAGUAACCUGCCCUUGACUUUGGGAUAACUUCAGGAAACUGGGGCUAAUACCGGAUAGGAGCUCCUGCUGCAUGGUGGGGGUUGGAAAGUUUCGGCGGUUGGGGAUGGACUCGCGGCUUAUCAGCUUGUUGGUGGGGUAGUGGCUUACCAAGGCUUUGACGGGUAGCCGGCCUGAGAGGGUGACCGGCCACAUUGGGACUGAGAUACGGCCCAGACUCCUACGGGAGGCAGCAGUGGGGAAUAUUGCACAAUGGGCGGAAGUCUGAUGCAGCAAUGCCGCGUGCGGGAUGACGGCCUUCGUGUUGUAAACCGCUUUCGCCUGUGACGAAGCGUGAGUGACGGUAAUGGGUAAAGAAGCACCGGCUAACUACGUG
rnacentral:rRNA from 1 species